AGAAAAAAAUCAGCAUUUUUAUGUAGGGUCUUCACACAUGGUAAAAUUAUUUGUGCCCAAAAUAAUAAUAGAUGAAUGCAUAUUAGGCUUCAAUGUUGCUUAUACUAUGACUAAUGGUUCAUACGAUGCCAUUUUUAUAAAUAUCUAUGCCAAAUUUAAUGAAAUCGACUUGAAAAUGUGUGUCGCCAGGUACCAAAUAAGAAAAAAAUCAGCAUUUUUAUGUAGGAUCUUCACACGGUAAAAUUGUUUGUGCCCAAAUAAUAAUACAUGUAGAUGAAUGCAUAUUAGGCUUCAAUGUUGCUUAUACUAUGACUACUUGUUCAUACGAUGCCAUUUUUUAAAAUAUCUAUGCCAAAUUUAAUGAAAAAGACUUGAAAAUGUGUGUCGCCAGGUACCAAGUAAGAAAAAAAUCAGCAUUUUUAUGUAGGGUCUUCACACAGUAAAAUUAUUUGUGCCCAAAUAAUAAUAGAUAAAUGCAUAUUAGGCUUCAAUGCAGGGUUGGCAUAUUGACCGGUCAAUUGAGUAUUGACCGGGCCGGCGGUCAAUACCUGGUUAAAACCGGUCAAUACUGGUCAUUACUGGUCGAUUGAAAAUUGUAGCAUUUAAACAUUACAAAGGAGCCAUUUUAUAUAAAAUCAAUAAUUAUUCUGUAAUUGAUAAACUUUUUUCUGAGUUAUUUAUUUUUAAAAAAAUCUUUAAAGCUGUUAAAAGUUACUUCUUAAUUAUUUAUGGAAACAGCCUCAAAUACAUAAGGACUAAGGCAAUAUCUUUAUCUCAGUGUAUCACAUCUGUUACUAAUUAGCCGGAUUUUACAUAAAUUCCAGGUUGAUAAACACAACAAGGUAAAGGUACCUUGUAGUCGGUGAGAUAUAAUAAUAAUACAGUUAGUAAGGCUCGUACCCUGGGUACGGUAAAUAUACUAAAACGUACGCGGAAAUUUUAACACUAAAUCGGUUGUUGUCGGCUAUUUUGUAAAAAUUAAUUAUGUUUACAUUUAUGUCAAUUUUCUGUUAAAUGGCAUUUAUAUUAUCAAAACUCAUUGUUAAAAUCAAUAAUGUGAUUUAAUUUUAAAUCUUAAAUUGUUUAAAGUCGCGUCAUUGUAUGACGUCGUCAAGUAUAAUAUUUUCCGCGACAUCGCACGUUCACUUUUUACCGUCAUAGAUUUUUUUAAAGAAACAUUAUUUGGUUACCAAGGUCCGUUAAAUGGGGAACACCAU